UGUACACCACAAUAAAUAACGACAAUAAAAAACAUCAUUAUCAGUAACAACAAUUUACUACUACUACUAUUACUACUACUACCAGCAUCAUCACAGUUAUUACUACUACUAAUCUCUCUCUCUCUCUCUCUCUCUCUCUCUCUCUCUCUCUCUCUCUCUCUCUCUCUCUCUCAUUUUCACCUCCAUUUGGUCUUCACGCCUUCACGCCACGAACUAGUUAUUUGGGAGUGAUGGGAAGGACGCGAGGCAAGGAAACUAGAAGGGAGUGGUAAUGGAAGUGAUAGGUGCUGGUGACGGGGGGGGAGGUGAUGAGGAAAGAGUGGGUGUUAUCACAUUCCAUCAUUAAGAGGGAGAAUACGUGACCAUUUCCUUGAUUUUCACCUUAGUAGUUAAGUGGGUGGGGUGGAGGUGACAUUGUAAGGUGCAGGAAGAAGAGAGAGGGAAAGGGAGAGGGAUGGGUGGGUGGGUGGGUGGGUGGGUGGGUGUGGAGGAGUAAGAUGUAUUAUUAAGGUAUUACAGUUUUUAAUAACAUGGUUUAUUGAUACGUUGCUGUUAUUGUGUUGUUAUUAUGGUAGAUUAUUAUUGGGGCUGUGAAUGAGAGGUGUGGCUCGACCUUGUUAAUCUCUCUCUCUCUCUCUCUCUCUCUCUCUCUCUCUCUCUCUCUCUCUCUCUCUGCACCGUCUCGAGAUAAGAGGUGGGAGGAAAGACACACCAAACCUUUCACGAAAAUAAGAAAAACCGAAACAAAAAGAAGAGAUAACACGAGAGAGAGAGAGAGAGAGAGAGAGAGAGAGAGAGAGAGAGAGAGAGAAAUACACACAAGUCAUUCAGUCCAGUCUACACGGCACCCACGUCCACUCACCCAUCCACGCACACAUCACCUCGUCACGGUCAAGAGAAGAGUGUCGAUUAGUGACGCCAGAUGACACCAACUAGGUCUUGUUGACAAAUAGAGACGAGACGGCCAGCUGUGUUUUGCUCUGCCCGUCCGUCCGUCCGACUCAGACUCUUGACUUUCUUUGUGAGUUGUGACGCAUCGUGUUACACUUUUAAGUCCAAGGCAGUGAGUCGUGGUCGUGGUGAUGGUGGUGGUGGAGAUGAAGGAGAUAAAAUACGAAAAAAUAAGAGAAAGGAGGGAAAUGGUUGACGAUAAAUCAGAAAGGUGUUGAAAAAUUGUACGAUCGGAUAAUACUUUACCGUACGUGGUGUGAAGGUUGCACGUGACUGAGGGAAAUAAGAUAGAAAAAUGUGAAAGAGCACGAGAAAGAAAUUAUAGACUGUAGAUAGAAAGGAAGAAAAAAAGCUUGAGAACCAGAAACAGAAAAGUCGACUAAGAUAAGAAGAGUGAAUAGGAAGAAACGCAGUGAGAAGACAGGUGCUCUUCGGUGGCGGCGUGACCCUGGAGUGACGGUGAAGCGUGACACCUGUGGCGCUAUUACGGGACGCGCCGCUCACGACAGGGACUGUUACGUGUAGGGCUGGCGAUUUCAUGCAGCUUCCCUCGUCUUCUUCAAGUAAGGAAAGAGAACGACGCAUUUUACGUUAGAGGUUUACCUUCCCGUGGCUCCCCCCGCCCUGCCACAAGGUCACCAGCACCCCCAAGAGCCACAGGGACUCGGACAAAACGGACUCCUCACCCCCAGGCGCCACCAAACCGGCCGUGUUCCUCUCCCCUCCCCUCCUCUAUCCGGCUCUUCCUUCCUCCCUUGACCCCCUCCUUCCCUCCCUCCUAUGCAAGUCACUGGAGUGCGAUUUAAUAGAUCUCUCUCUCUCUCUCU
rnacentral:lncRNA from 1 species